rnacentral:rRNA from 1 species
GGGGCGAUGCCUUCUGUGCCGCACAAACGCAAUAAGUAUCCCGCCUGGGGAGUACGAUCGCAAGGUUGAAACUCAAAGGAAUUGACGGGGGCCCGCACAAGCAGCGGAGCAUGUGGUUUAAUUCGAAGCAACGCGAAGAACCUUACCAAGGCUUGACAUCCCUUGACGUACAUAGAAAUAUGUAUUCCCUUCGGGGCAAGGAGACAGGUGGUGCAUGGUUGUCGUCAGCUCGUGUCGUGAGAUGUUGGGUUAAGUCCCGCAACGAGCGCAACCCUUAUUGCUAGUUGCCAGCGAGUAAUGUCGGGAACUCUAGUGAGACUGCCGGGGACAACUCGGAGGAAGGUGGGGACGACGUCAAAUCAUCAUGCCCCUUAUGUCUUGGGCUACACACGUGCUACAAUGGCCGGUACAAAGGGCAGCGAAACCGCAAGGUGGAGCGAAUCUCAUAAAGCCGGUCCCAGUUCGGAUCGUGGGCUGCAACCCGCCCACGUGAAGUCGGAGUUGCUAGUAAUCGCGAAUCAGCAUGUCGCGGUGAAUGCGUUCCCGGGCCUUGUACACACCGCCCGUCACACCAUGGAAGUUGGGAGCACCCGAAGCCAGUGGCCUAACCGUAAGGAGGGAGCUGUCGAAGGUGAGACCAAUGACUGGGGUGAAGUCGUAACAAGGUAGCCG